rnacentral:rRNA from 1 species
UACGGAGGGUGCAAGCGUUAUCCGGAUUCACUGGGCUUAAAGGGUGCGUAGGCGGGCAGGUAAGUCAGUGGUGAAAUCCCCGAGCUCAACUUGGGAAUUGCCGUUGAUACUAUCUGUCUUGAAUAUCGUGGAGGUGAGCGGAAUAUGUCAUGUAGCGGUGAAAUGCUUAGAUAUGACAUAGAACACCCAUUGCGAAGGCAGCUCACUACACGAUAAUUGACGCUGAGGCACGAAAGCGUGGGGAGCAAACAGG